rnacentral:rRNA from 1 species
CCUACGGGUGGCAGCAGUCGAGAAUCAUUCACAAUGGGGGAAACCCUGAUGGUGCGACGCCGCGUGGGGGAAUGAAGGUCUUCGGAUUGUAAACCUCUUUCAUGUGGGAGCAAAUUAGAAAGAUAGUACCACAAGAGGAAGAGCCGGCUAACUCUGUGCCAGCAGCCGCGGUAAUACAGAGGUCUCAAGCGUUGUUCGGAAUCACUGGGCGUAAAGCGUGCGUAGGUUGUUUCGUAAGUCGUGUGUGAAAGGUGCGGGCUCAACCCGAGGACGGCAGAUGAUACUGGGAGGCUAGAGUAGUGGAGGGGGAAGCGGAAUUCGCGGUGUAGCAGUGAAAUGCUUAGAUAUCGAGAAGAACACUCGUGGCGAAGGCGGGUUCCUGGACAUUAACUGACGCUGAGGCACGAAGGCCAGGGGAGCGAAAGGGAUUAGAUACCCGAGUAGUC